UACGUAGGGUGCGAGCGUUGUCCGGAAUUAUUGGGCGUAAAGGGCUCGUAGGCGGUCUGUCGCGUCGGGAGUGAAAACUCAGGGCUUAACCCUGAGCCUGCUUCCGAUACGGGCAGACUAGAGGUAUGCAGGGGAGAAUGGAAUUCCUGGUGUAGCGGUGAAAUGCGCAGAUAUCAGGAGGAACACCAGUGGCGAAGGCGGUUCUCUGGGCAUUACCUGACGCUGAGGAGCGAAAGUGUGGGGAGCGAACAGG
rnacentral:rRNA from 1 species